rnacentral:rRNA from 1 species
CCCUUAGAUGUCCGGGGCUGCACGCGCGCUACACUGAAGGAAUCAGCGUGCUAAAACCAUCGUCGAAAGGCAUUGGUAAACCCAUUAAAAUCCUACGUGAUUGGGAUCGGGAAUUGCAAUUAUUUCCCUUGAACGAGGAAUUCCCAGUAAGUGUGGGUCAUAAGCUCGCGUUGAUUACGUCCCUGCCCUUUGUACACACCGCCCGUCGCUGCCCGGGACUGAGCCGUUUCGAGAAAAGCGGGGACUGCUGCUGUCGGGGCUUUCGGGCCUUGGCUUCGGUGGAAACCGCUUUAAUCGCAGUGGCUUGAACCGGGCAAAAGUCGUANCA